rnacentral:rRNA from 1 species
CACGUAGGGUGCGAGCGUUGUCCGGAAUUAUUGGGCGUAAAGAGCUCGUAGGCGGUGUGUCGCGUCGGCCGUGAAAACCUGCAGCUUAACUGUGGGCGUGCGGUCGAUACGGGCAUCACUGGAGUUCGGCAGGGGAGACUGGAAUUCCUGGUGUAGCGGUGAAAUGCGCAGAUAUCAGGAGGAACACCGGUGGCGAAGGCGGGCUCCUGGGGUUGUCUUGACGCUGAGGCGCGAAAGCUGGGGGAGCGAACGGG